rnacentral:misc_RNA from 1 species
AGCAGGAGAUCACAAGGUAGACAGGG